ACUUAUUAUUAUAUAUAGGAACCACGGGAUUUUACUGUUCGAGCAAAAAUCGAAAAGAUUCAAAGUGAAUUUGGGUGGUUCUACAUUGCUUGCAACAGGUGUCAAUCUAAAUUAAAGAAGGAAGAAAUUACAUUUACAUGCGACAAUUGCGAUAAAAAAUUGCAUUUACCCAUCAUGAGAUACAAAAUACAAGUGGAAGUCAAUGAUAAUACAACGACAACAACGUUUGUAAUAUUCGACAAUGACGCAAAGAAACUUCUAAAUAUGACUACAGAAAAAUUGUCUAUAAAACUCCAAAAAGAUUUUAAUAUUCCAAAAGAGUUACAGAAUUUAAUCGGAAAAUGGUUCCUUUUAAAAUAAACGUGAAUGAAUGGAAUUUGAAAAAAAGAUACCAAAUUUUUAGUGUGAUAAGAAUAUUUUUGGAGGAGCAAGAAAACCAAAAAUAAAAAUCACAACAGCAAACAGUUCAGAAUAUCAAGAAGGAAAAGGAAACAAUCUCAACGGAAACAGACAAAGAAUCAAAUUCAGAGACUCAAAGUGAAGAAAAUUUAGAAAAUGAUUUCGAAAGUGAUGAGGACAAAGCUGGCAAAGAAAUAAAUGGAGCUGUAAAUAGUCAAAAAAGAAGUCGAAAUCGAACAUAUAUCCAAAGAAGAAUUUCAUUACAAAUCAAAAUAUAAAAGACGGAAGAUGAGAGUUGCCAAAUAAAAGUGGCAUUGGUUACAACGUUUUUUUUACAUUUUUUUAUGAACUUAAUAAUUUAUUUUCUUUCAACAAAAUUAAUCGUGUAUAUUUUAAUUUAUUAAUUAUGAAAGUUAAAAAUCCGAAAAGUUAAAUGUUCAUAUGAAUGUUGAUAUUAAAUUUUCGGUAGAAAGAUUGAAUUUUUAUUCCUGGAUGAUUAGAUUCCCACGAUUGUAAAUGUACGAAGAAACAAAUCAUCGUUAAAAUAUAAAUUGUCCAUCUCUAACUAAACUGAUUUAGUAAACAUAAAGAAAAAAAUAGACAAAAUUUCAAAAUUUGAUGAAUAUCGUAAAGUAUUGAGAAGUAUGGUACCUGAACCACAUUUCAUUAUCAGAAGUAACUGCAAACAAAUUUGUAGAGAAACAAAAGAAGGCCAUUGAAGAGAUAAACAUCAA